AUUGAACGCUGGCGGCAUGCUUUACACAUGCAAGUCGAACGGUAACAGGGAGCUUGCUCCGCUGACGAGUGGCGAACGGGUGAGUAAUGCGUCGGAACGUGCCGAGUAGUGGGGGAUAACGCAUCGAAAGGUGUGCUAAUACCGCAUACGUACUGAGGUAGAAAGUGGGGGACCUUCGGGCCUCACGCUAUUCGAGCGGCCGACGUCUGAUUGGCUAGUUGGUGAGGUAAAGGCUCACCAAGGCGACGAUCAGUAGCGGGUCUGAGAGGAUGGUCCGCCACACUGGGACUGAGACACGGCCCAGACUCCUACGGGAGGCAGCAGUGGGGAAUUUUGGACAAUGGGCGCAAGCCUGAUCCAGCCAUGCCGCGUGUCUGAAGAAGGCCUUCGGGUUGUAAAGGACUUUUGUCCGGGAGCAAAUGCCUGGUGUUAAUAGCACUGGGAGCUGAGAGUACCGGAAGAAUAAGCACCGGCUAACUACGUGCCAGCGGCCGCGGUAACAC
rnacentral:rRNA from 1 species